rnacentral:rRNA from 1 species
UGCAGUCGAACGGCAGCAUGGGUGCUUGCACCUGAUGGCGAGUGGCGAACGGGUGAGUAAUGCAUCGGAACGUACCCGGAAGUGGGGGAUAACGUAGCGAAAGUUACGCUAAUACCGCAUAUUCUGUGAGCAGGAAAGCGGGGGAUCGCAAGACCUCGCGCUUCCGGAGCGGCCGAUGUCGGAUUAGCUAGUUGGCGGGGUAAAGGCCCACCAAGGCAACGAUCCGUAGCGGGUCUGAGAGGAUGAUCCGCCACACUGGGACUGAGACACGGCCCAGACUCCUACGGGAGGCAGCAGUGGGGAAUUUUGGACAAUGGGGGCAACCCUGAUCCAGCCAUGCCGCGUGAGUGAAGAAGGCCUUCGGGUUGUAAAGCUCUUUCGGCUGGGAAGAAAUCGCAUCUCCUAAUACGGGGUGUGGAUGACGGUACCAGCAUAAGAAGCACCGGCUAACUACGUGCCAGC